AUGGCUUCCAGUGCUUUAACGAAACCUCACAUAUGUGGCCUUCUGGCCAAGCAUCUAUGAUUUCGCACUGUUGGAACACUCACUGUAUUCCCGGGCUUGCAGCUCUCUAUAAGUUUUGUGUAGCUGAACCAAGAAUAAAGGCAUGCGCAGAUUUCUACAGAAAUUAUGAUUCCGUUAAAGAUUUUGAGGAGAUGAGGAAGACUGAUAGCUUUCAGGAUGCAAAG
rnacentral:lncRNA from 1 species